GAUGAACGCUAGCGGCAGGCUUAACACAUGCAAGUCGAGGGGCAGCAUGGUGUAGCAAUACACUGAUGGCGACCGGCAAACGGGUGCGGAACACGUACGCAACUUACCCAAAACUGGGGAAUAGCCCGGGGAAACCCGGAUUAAUACCUCGUAACAUAAUUGAGUGGCAUCACUUGAUUAUUAUAGCUCCGGUGGUUUUGGAUGGGCGUGCGCCUGAUUAGGUAGUUGGCGGGGUAACGGCCCACCAAGCCUACGAUCAGUAACUGGUGUGAGAGCACGACCAGUCACACGGGCACUGAGACACGGGCCCGACUCCUACGGGAGGCAGCAGUAAGGAAUAUUGGUCAAUGGACGCAAGUCUGAACCAGCCAUGCCGCGUGAAGGAUGAAGGUCCUCUGGAUUGUAAACUUCUUUUAUAUGGGAAGAAAUCCAUCUUUUCUUGGGUGGUUGACGGUACCAUAGGAAUAAGCACCGGCUAACUACGUGCCAGCCGCCGCAGUAAAAC
rnacentral:rRNA from 1 species